GCAAAUGAAUCAAAACUUUCAACAACGGAUCUCUUGGUUCUGGCAUCGAUGAAGAACGCAGCGAAAUGCGAUAAGUAAUGUGAAUUGCAGAAUUCAGUGAACCAUCGAAUCUUUGAACGCACAUUGCGCCCGCCAGCACUCUGGCGGGCAUGCCUGUCCGAGCGUCAUCUCAACCCU
rnacentral:rRNA from 1 species